rnacentral:tRNA from 1 species
GGGGAUGUAGCUCAGUUGGCUAGAGCGCUUGCAUGGCAUGCAAGAGGUCGUCGGUUCGAGCCCGAUCUUCUCCACAA